UAACGCGUGGGUAACCUGCCCUAUACACAUGGAUAACAUACUGAAAAGUUUACUAAUACAUGAUAAUAUAUAUUUACGGCAUCGUAGAUAUAUCAAAGUGUUAGCGGUAUAGGAUGGACCCGCGUCUGAUUAGCUAGUUGGUGAGAUAACUGCCCACCAAGGCGACGAUCAGUAGCCGACCUGAGAGGGUGAUCGGCCACAUUGGAACUGAGACACGGUCCAAACUCCUACGGGAGGCAGCAGGC
rnacentral:rRNA from 1 species